AUCUACAUCCACGCCAUCCUGAACAUGCCCGAUCUUGUCUAAUCUUGGAAGCUAAGCACGGUCUGGCCUGGUUAGUACUUGGAUGGGAGACCACCUAGGAAUACCAGGUGCUGUAAGCA
rfam:Pteropus alecto contig45992, whole genome shotgun sequence.